rnacentral:rRNA from 1 species
CGGGUGAGUAACACGUGGGUAACCUGCCCAUAAGACUGGGAUAACUCCGGGAAACCGGGGCUAAUACCGGAUAACAUUUUGAACCGCAUGGUUCGAAAUUGAAAGGCGGCUCGGCUGUCACUUAUGGAUGGACCCGCGUCGCAUUAGCUAGUUGGUGAGGUAACGGCUCACCAAGGCAACGAUGCGUAGCCGACCUGAGAGGGUGAUCGGCCACACUGGGACUGAGACACGGCCCAGACUCCUACGGGAGGCAGCAGUAGGGAAUCUUCCGCAAUGGACGAAAGUCUGACGGAGCAACGCCGCGUGAGUGAUGAAGGCUUUCGGGUCGUAAAACUCUGUUGUUAGGGAAGAACAAGUGCUAGUUGAAUAAGCUGGCACCUUGACGGUACCUAACCAGAAAGCCACGGCUAACUACGUGCCAGCAGCCGCGGUAAUACGUAGGUGGCAAGCGUUAUCCGGAAUUAUUGGGCGUAAAGCGCGCGCAGGUGGUUUCUUAAGUCUGAUGUGAAAGCCCACGGCUCAACCGUGGAGGGUCAUUGGAAACUGGGAGACUUGAGUGCAGAAGAGGAAAGUGGAAUUCCAUGUGUAGCGGUGAAAUGCGUAGAGAUAUGGAGGAACACCAGUGGCGAAGGCGACUUUCUGGUCUGUAACUGACACUGAG